CAGCUUUUCAUUUUAUUUCUAAAACAAUGGCGGACAGCUCAAGCGGUAGACCACGAAGCUACAGACCGUACAUAGACGUUUCCUGGAGGUGCUGGUGCUGGCUGGUCCUCUGCUGCCCUCCUGACAUCUGCAUCUGGCUCCAAUGACCUCUGGCACAAACCUCACAUCCACCUCCAGGGCCUUUAAGAAGAUGGACCGCCAUCGCGUCUUCAGUAUCCCGAAGGACCUCUCCACAACACACCUCGCCUUUGACAGGCAGCAGUUGUAGCUUGGAGGUGGUUGUGGACAGGCUGCCUGAAGGGGUCAUGAGGCAGAUGGGUUGGGACAGGCAGGGGUAGCCACCAUCCCCAAGGAUACAGUAUCCUGGUGGAGGGUAUGACUGCUCAUAGAAGAUGGGGCUGUUAUUCAGGACCCUGGCAUCAUGCUCUGAGUCUGGGUAGCCCACACGCACAUCUAUGAAUUUUCACUUAUCAUCACAGAUGGCCUGCAGCUGGAUGGAAUGAAAAAGCUUCCUGUUAAAAUAGCAGGCAGCAUCCUCCGCUGGGUGCUUCACUCUGACGUGGCAGCCAUCAAUAGCCCCCACGACUCUGCUGAAGGCUUCCGACCCAGCUAGACGGGCGAAGCGGGCACCUCGGCGUGGGAGUUCCUCUCCUGUAGGGUGGCGGACAACGGUGUCCAGGAGCGUAGCGAUCUGCCCACUCAUCCUGUGCACCAGCCGGUGAACGGUGGCCCGGGGCAUGUCGAAAGCCCUGGCCACCACCAGAUAGGAGGUGGUGCUGGCAAGCCAAAAAAUAAAAACUAGACAGGAGAUCUCGGGGCAGCCAUGAGGGCGUUGAAUGACUCUCGGGUGAGCCUGAAGUCCACCCUCAAGUCACUGUGGCCAUCAAAAUACAACGCCAGCAGUGGCAUUGCAACAUUGAUACGGCAGCGCCGCCUGGGACUGGGUGGCUGCUGUAGAGUGUGUGGGGAGGGGAAGGGAAGAUUAUAUUAAUAUGUAAGUCAUUUUAUCAAUAAAAUGUUGUCAUUGA